rnacentral:rRNA from 1 species
AGGACGAACGCUGGCGGCGCGCCUAACACAUGCAAGUCGAGCGAUAACCAGGGCUUGCCCUGGGGACAGCGGCGAACGGGUGCGUAACACGUGAGCAACCUGCCCCAAAGACCGGGACAACCCGAGGAAACUCGGACUAAUACCGGAUGCCCUCACCGGGCCGCAUGGUCUGGUGAGGAAAUGGAUUCCGCUUUGGGAUGGGCUCGCGGUCUAUCAGCUUGUUGGUGGGGUAACGCCUACCAAGGCGACGACGGAUAGCUGGUCUGAGAGGACGAUCAGCCACACUGGGACUGAGACACGGCCCAGACUCCUACGGGAGGCAGCAGUGGGGAAUCUUGCGCAAUGGGGGAAACCCUGACGCAGCGACGCCGCGUGCGGGAUGAAGGCCUUCGGGUUGUAAACCGCUUUCAGCAGGGACGAAAUUGACGGUACCUGCAGAAGAAGGCCCGGCCAACUACGCGCCAGCAGCCGC